rnacentral:rRNA from 1 species
GUAAAUAAUUAAGGGCGUAUGGUGGAUGCCUAGGCUCUCAGAGGCGAAGAAGGACGUGAUAAGCUGCGAAAAGCUCCGUUUAGGUGCAAAUAACCUUUGAUGCGGAGAUCUCCGAAUGGGAUAACCCAAUAUGUUGAAGACAUAUUAUACCGUAAGGUAGGCAAACGCAGGGAACUGAAACAUCUAAGUACCUGCAGGAGAAGAAAACAAAAGUGAUUCCCCCAGUAGCGGCGAGCGACCGGGGAUAAGCCCAAACCGUUAUUGUUUCGGCAGUAGCGGGGUAGUAGGACUGCGACAUUGAUGAAAUAAAUGAAAUGGAACACCUUGGAAAAUGUGAUCACAGAGGGUGAUAAUCCCGUACAUGCAAGUUUAUGAAUCAUAGCAGACUCCUGAGUAAGUCGGGACACGUGUAAUCCUGACCGAAUCCGCCGGGACCAUCCGGCAAGGCUAAAUACUCCUGAGAGACCGAUAGUGAACCAGUACCGUGAGGGAAAGGUGAAAAGCACUUCGAACAGAAGAGUGAAAUAGUCCCUGAACCCAUACGCCUACAAGCUGUCGGAGCCGCUUCGUGCGGUGACGGCGUGCCUUUUGCAUAAUGAGCCUACGAGUUACUCAUCACCAGCGAGGUUAAGUACUUCAGGUACGUAAGCCGAAGCGAAAGCGAGUCUGAAUAGGGCGUCAAGUUGGUGGUGGUAGACGCGAAACCUUAGUGAUCUACCCAUGGGCAGGGUGAAGGUUUGGUAACACAAACUGGAGGCCCGAACCGGUAAACGUUGAAAAGUUUUCGGAUGACCUGUGGGUAGGGGUGAAAGGCCAAUCAAACUGGGAAAUAGCUCGUACUCUCCGAAAUGCAUUUAGGUGCAGCCUCUGUUGUUUUGUUCUAGAGGUAGAGCUACUGAUUGGAUGCGAGGGCUUCACCGCCUAUCAAAUCCGGCCAAACUCCGAAUGCUAGAACAUGAAGACAGGGAGUGAGCCAGCGGGUGCUAAGGUCCGUUGACGAAAGAGGGAGAACUCAGACCAUCAGCUAAGGUCCCCAAUUAUAUGCUAAGUUGGAAUUAAAACGGGGUGGGACUGCUUAGACAGCUAGGAUGUUGGCUUGGAAGCAGCCAUUCAUUUAAAGAGUGCGUAACAGCUCACUAGUCGAGCGGUCCUGCAUGGAUAAUACGCGGGCAUAAGCAUAUAACCGAAGCUAUGGGAUUGUAGAUGAUACAAUCGGUAGGAGAGCAUUCCAUUCAGCAUAGAAGCAGUACCGUGAGGUAUUGUGGAGCGGAUGGAAAAGCAAAUGUAGGCAUAAGUAACGAUAAUGCGGGUGAGAACCCCGCACGCCGAAAGAUCAAGGAUUCCCCGGCAAUGUCAAUCAUCCGGGGGUAAGUCGGAUCCUAAGGGUAAGCCGAGUGGCGAUCCCGAUGGCAAACAGGUUAAUAUUCCUGUACUGAUCAUAACUGCGAUGCAGCGACGCAGAGGUGACACUGCUGCGUACUGACGGAAUAGUACGUUGAAACCCGUAUUCUUUGAUACCGGUAGUGAAGCACGCCGGUAGAGAUGAAAGGUGAUAGUACCGCAAUGCUUCGGUUGCGCGGAUAAUGCAGGUAAGCUGACUGCCAAGAAAACCUGCUAAGCUUCAGGUAAUGAUCAUCCGUACUGUAAACGGACACACGUGAUCAGGUAGAAAAUACUAAGGCGCUCGAGAGAUUCAUGGUUAAGGAACUAGGCAAAAUGGUCCUGUAACUUCGGGAUAAAGGACGCUCUUGUGAAAGAGCCGCAGAUAAUAGGCCCAGGCGACUGUUUACCAAAAACACAUGGCUAUGCUAAUUCGCAAGAAGAUGUAUAUGGCCUGACACCUGCCCGGUGCCGGAAGGUUAAGAGGAGAGCUCAGAGGCAACUCGAAGGUUUGAAUUGAAGCCCCGGUAAACGGCGGCCGUAACUAUAACGGUCCUAAGGUAGCGAAAUUCCUUGUCGGGU